rnacentral:lncRNA from 1 species
GGAAGAUCCAAGAGCAGUGCUGAGAGACCCAAGGCAGAAGCUGGAAAUGAGACAGUCGCCUGAAUCCAGGAUCUCUGAAGAGCUCCACCCUUGGAGAGGGUUAUUAAGCUAAGCCUUCUAUAGUUUGCUCUGCGAUGCUAUGGCUGAGACUCUGUGAACCACAUUUCUGCUUUACCAGCUGGCUCCCUGUUCAGCUCUGCCAAGAGAAGAUGUCAGAGGCAGAGUGCAAGGAUGAAGGAGGACGAAGGGACUUUCUCCUGUUGGCUUCCUGUCUGCUUCCUGUUCCUGUGAGCAUCGCCUUAGCAACGCUUCUUCACCCAGGGAGCAGGAGCGCUUUCCCAUGGCAGCAGCUGGAUUCAGUUUGCAGUUUUUCAGCUCUAGCAGAACAAGCCUUAUUGCAUACCCUCAGAGACUCCAGCACCAGCCAGCUGGGCCCCCUCCUCAGAGGCCUGGAUCCCAGAUCCAAGAAGCCCUUCCUUUGAGCUCAUUGACACCAGCAACACCCUGUUCCCAAAAGUCUACAUUUCAGCUUCAUGAGGCCCCUCCUCCCAGCUUGCAAGUUUUAGUGAUUCUUGCCCCUUACCUUUUCUCCUCCAGCUUUAGGGAUGGUGUCUGCACUUGCUGCCUCUCUAACACUUGAGAGUCCUUCUUUUUGGUUCAUUUUCAUCAACACUUUAAUACCUGGUUAACAAUUCCUCGUAUUAAAUUAUCUCAGUUAAAAUAACUGAUAUAGCUCUCCAAUCAAUU